UGCAUUGUUCCUAUCGGACAAUAUUCGGAAGAGGCUCAAAAUAAACACAUUAGGAAGCAUAGGUAACAAUGUACGACGAAAAUAUCAAUAAUAGGAUUUAUUAAACAAGCAUUUGAUUAUUUCAGAUCCGGCUAUAGCACGUUUGAGAGUAUGCCGAAAAACUAAGGAGCUGAAAAUGAAUCCUGAAUUGUUUAAUUUAUUAGAAAGCGAGCAAAGUGAGAAUUUUAUAGAAUAAAGAUUCUAUGAACGCAUUUGAGGGCUCAUUUGAAGAAUAUGUUAGUAUUAGUGAUCCCAGUAAUUUGUUUUAUUUGAUUAAAAUUGUACUUUCUUAUUCAAAUUAAAAAAAAAAAAAAAUUAACAAAAACUUUUACGUCAAAUAUUUUUUUUAAAUAAAAUAAAUUGUUAAAAUGACACACUGUGACACAGAGUGCAUCGAUGAAACCACGGAGACUAUUCUUAAUUGGAUAUUUCUUAACCCAGAAAAAAAAAAGUUAUUAUUAUUGGAAA